UCGAAGCUGCCUUCUCAUUCACAGGUCAGGUACAGUGUGGACAGAUGCACUGCCGCCUCCCUUAUGCUGCCCCUCCUGUGCAUCUCAAAGCUGACAUGGAAGGACCCCUGUCGAGUAGGGGGGAGAAGGUAAAGGUGGUCUCACUUCUGCAAUA